CCUACGGGAGGCAGCAGUAAGGAAUAUCCGGUCAAUGGACGCAAGUCUGAACCAGCCAUGCCGCGUGGAGGAUGAAGGUCUCUGGAUUGUAAACUUCUUUUCUCUGGGACGAAACCCCCGAUUUCCAUCGGGCCUGACGGUACCAGAGGAAUAAGCACCGGCUAACUCCGUGCCAGCAGCCGCGGUAAUACGGAGGGUGCAAGCGUUAUCCGGAUUCACUGGGUUUAAAGGGUGCGUAGGCGGGUUUGUAAGUCAGUGGUGAAAUCCCCGAGCUUAACUUGGGAACUGCCAUUGAUACUGCAAGUCUUGAAUUUUCUGGAGGUAAGCGGAAUAUGUCAUGUAGCGGUGAAAUGCUUAGAUAUGACAUAGAACACCCGUUGCGAAGGCAGCUUACUACGGGAAUAUUGACGCUGAGGCACGAAAGCGUGGGGAUCAAACAGGAUUAGACACCCUGGUAGUCCACGCCCUAAACGAUGAUUACUCGACAUUAGCGAUAUUACGGUUAGUGCCUAAGCGAAAGCAUUAAGUAAUCCACCUGGGAAGUACGACCGCAAGGUUGAAACUCAAAUGAAUUGACGG
rnacentral:rRNA from 1 species